CAAAGCCCGCGAACAGGAAUAUUCCAAGUUCAGACAGAAGGGGGGAGUCAGCUCGCUCUGAUCGCCAGGAACUUUACUUUUGGUGUCUAUUUUUAAUUGUCGCACUAUUGGUGCUGACUGUUGAUGUUAGGUAGGCAGCUACAGUAGCUGAAUGAUGUUAACAUCUUCGGGUUUUGUUUCAUUAAAUGCAUUUAAUUUCAUCUGGGUGCUUGCGUUACCUACUAACACCCUGGUACCCGUAGCUCCCGUUCUCCUCAGUCCGAGAAAACACUGAGAGAAAGGUAUGUGUUGCAGAUUACUCCUUUGUAGAAGUCCAUAACGUGAAAUAAAUAAAACAUCCCAAGAUUAAUGCUGUAUAUAUUGUUAUAAGUUAGUGUGAGAUUAUUGAAACAUGUAACUUUCAGAGUUUUAUUAUUGUUAUUAAUAUAGUUUACAAAGUGCUAAAAGUGCUGCUGUUGCUAGCUAGCAUGCCUUUCUGUGAUGCAGAUGGUUAGCUGAGCUGUCGACUGGUGCUUGCGUUGCAUUAUGGGAGAUGUAGUUUUGGCCCUCUAAGGUCUGAAUGGGAAAGAGACAAUUUCACGUUUUACUUGUUUGUGUUGCAGUGUUUUUGUACAUGAGUUGUAUUUUGGUACUGUAUUUUGGUACUGUCAACACUGAAAGCACCUAGCAAUGUAUUGGGUAUGUGUUUUACCUUUCUUCAUGCUCCUGUGUAGAACAACUUGUCAGAUGGUGCAUUGGAGACUGAUGUGUUCCUGUUCUGUCUUUUCAUAAUACCAUUGCAGGUGGACUCCAAUCAAGUUGUAGGAACAUCUCAAGGAUGACCAAUGGAAACAGGAUGCACCUGAGCUCAAUUUCAAGUCUCAUAGCAAAGGGUCUGAACAAGGUACUUCAGAUUAUUUUUUUUUUGCCAACAUUUCUAAAAACCUGUUUUCGUUUUGUUAUUUUGGGGUAUUAUGUGUAAAUUGAUGAGGAUUUAGUUUUAUUUAAACAAUUUUAGAAUAAGGCUGUAAUGUAACAAAAUGUGGGAAAAGUCAAGGGGUCUGAAUACUUCCGGAAUGCACUGUGUCAUACUCUGCUUCCACCGGGCAUUCCACUGAUUUUAAAACUCUGUCCUUCAGCAAGACUUAUGCAGUUCUUCGUAAUUUGUUUCAAAAUAGCAUAGUUAGAAAGGAUUACCUACACAUCCUGAGCAGCUCAUGUUAUAGACAGAAGCGUGCAACAUGGGUUCCUUUCUUCCUGUCUUUUUCAGUGUCUAAACCAACUAGGCUCGUAUUAACAAUUUUAUUAGUAUUUACAGAUGGCAUACAAGUUUGUUGUUGAGGCACAUGAAAGUUCACAUUUUCCAGAAGGCAUUUCUGCCAAAAAAUGCAUUAUGCAAAAUAAAAUAUUGUUUACAUUCAAAUGCCUCUCCUGUAGAGUAGCGACGCAAGACAUACGCUUAGUUUCCUGAAAUGAGUAACAGUUGUCAAAAGUACAGAGAUGUGAUCAAUGUAUUCGUUCAUACAAGCACAAAUGACUCCAUCAGGUCAGAUCUAAUCCUGCUUGCCCAGUUCUGGCACCCGUAUCCAGACAGAGGUUUGGUGUUUGCAGGGAUGGUACAGUAAAUGGGGGGCCACCUCGUCCCCCAAAAGCCUACGGGGGGCACCGCUGAGACAUUUAAAUGCCAAACACUUUUCGGAGGGGGAAAUUUGCCAGGAGUCCAUGGUUUGGAGGGAUGGAGUCACACGUCACACAUUCUGUGGCAUGUCACAGAUCACAUCAGGCCCCAUUAAUUGUAUGUCUUUUCUCAACAUCCUAUAUACAAUUGUAGGUUAAUGAUUUCUUAACAGAUUAUUUGGGCCUGACAUUUAUAGCAUGCUAAAUGGGGUUUAGUAUAUGACUAACAAUCAAAUGUAAAGACACAGAUAUGCAAUUUGGUUGUAUUAUCCCUGUAUCAUUGUUGAGAACAGAGCAUUUAUUUAUUAAUGUGAUCAGCAGAUUCUUUUAACUCUUCUGCAAGCUGCUCUGUGGAUGUUGUUGGUUCAUCAGAUUCUGAUGACACUGUUACUCUGACACAAAGUCCUAGCAGAAACAGGAGAGCAGAGGAAGAUAGUGCAGCCAAACAAGUCCCGCACGACAUGUGAAGGAAGCAUAUGCAAGAGGAAUAGUUUCCUUCUUUCCGUACCUGGCCGACCCCAAAAGCAAGACUGACUAUGCUGUGACAGUGACAUGUCGUCCAUUCUUCUUAUCAUCCAUCUUCUGCCUCCCUCCUCUCAAGGCCGCAACAAGCCGGGAAAGAUGUCAGCAAGACACGCAGCUGAACAUCUUGUGAAGUUCAUGAAGGUAAUGGCUUCCUGAAGUUCUCCAAGCAGCUGAUUGGUCAGCCCCAUUGCUGAUUGGAGAGCUGACCCCGCCCCCUCGUCAGGACGCAGCUGUCUCAAUUAACAACCCCAAUAUAAGCCAGUGUGCUGUUGCUCAGAGAAAGAGAGAGACACAGAGAUUUUUGCUGAGAGAGGAGGUUGAUGGCAGAGGGUUAUAUAUAUAUAUAUAUAUAUAUAUAUAUAUAUAUAUAUAUAUAUAUAUGUAUGUAUGUAUGUUGGUUGUUUCUCAGAAAGAGAAUUGGGUAUGUACUGAGUUAGUUGUUGCUGAGAAAGCUUAUUGUUAUGUUCUGUGUUUAGUGCUCAGAGUUUUCUUUAAUGUCCUGGGUUAGUGUUUUCUCAGGUUUUGUUGUAAAGUAGUUUGUACAUUUGUGUUACUCUGUUUCAUUUGUUCCCAGAGGGGAAGGGGAAGGCACCUAGGCAGUGCUUAGGCAAGAGGCCCGCGGGCAUACAUAUACCGUAGUAAUUUAUUGUCUAUGCACACUAGGAAAGACCUGGGCGGACCAUCCCCUGUAUUUUGGUUAGUGCACCAGGUGGUGCUAGUUAGGUAAGUAGUGGGUAGGCAGGUAAGGUAGGAGAGGGGGCUUUGAUAUUUAGUUUCUUUGCUUUGGUUCGGUCCAGCCCCUUUUCCCCAAACUUACCGCGUGAAGGAAUAAAUUCCCAGUAAACGGUA
rnacentral:lncRNA from 1 species